rnacentral:rRNA from 1 species
GUCCACGCCCUAAACGAUGUCAACUGGUUGUUGGACGGCUUGCUGUUCAGUAACGAAGCUAACGCGUGAAGUUGACCGCCUGGGGAGUACGGCCGCAAGGUUGAAACUCAAAGGAAUUGACGGUGACCCCGCACAAGCGGUGGAUGAUGUGGUUUAAUUCGAUGCAACGCGAAAACCUUACCUACCCUUGACAUGCUAGGAAUCCUGCAGAGAUGUGGGAGUGCUCGAAAGAGAACCUAGACACAGGUGCUGCAUGGCCGUCGU